UUCCCUUUGUCAUCCUAUGCCUGGAGAUCAUAGUGAGGCAGGGACAACAAAGGGAUGC
rnacentral:pre_miRNA from 1 species